CAAGAUCCCUAUACGGCGAGUGAACCGGGAAAAGCUCAAAUUUGAAAUCUGGCUGUCUUCGAUAGUCCGAGUUGUAAUCUAUAGAAGCGUUUUCCGUGCUGAACUGUGUCUAAGUCCCUUGGAACAGGGUAUCAAAGAGGGUGAUAAUCCCGUACUUGACACAACCAUCAGUGCUCUGUGAUACGUUCUCUACGAGUCGAGUUGUUUGGGAAUGCAGCUCAAAAUGGGUGGUAAAUUCCAUCUAAAGCUAAAUAUUGGCGAGAGACCGAUAGCGAACAAGUACCGUGAGGGAAAGAUGAAAAGCACUUUGGAAAGAGAGUUAAACAGUACGUGAAAUUGUUGAAAGGGAAACGAUUGAAGUCAGUCGUGUUCAUUGGAUUCAGCUAGUUCUUCUAUCUACUUCCUUUGAACGGGUCAACAUCAGUUUUGUCCGGUGGAUAAAGGAUUUAGGAAUGUGACUCCCUCGGGAGUGUUAUAGCCUAGGUUCACAUACACUGGGUGAGACUGAGGACUGCAGCUCGCCUUUUGGCCGGGGUUCGCCCACGUUCGAGCUUAGGAUGUUGACAUAAUGGCUUUAAACGACCCGUCUUGAAACA
rnacentral:rRNA from 1 species